rnacentral:pre_miRNA from 1 species
AUAGUACUCCCUCCGUCCGAAAAUACUUGUCAUCAAAAUGGAUAAAAGGGAGAUUUUAUCCAUUUUGAUGACAAAUAUUUUCGAAUGGAGGGAGUAUAAU